rnacentral:ribozyme from 12 species
AAAGUUACUUAUUUUUCUUUUGAUUUUUUUUUACCUCUGUUUUCUUGCUGUUGACUCUACCUGAUCUGAUCCCCGUAACCACAUACAUGAAGUUGUGAACCGG